UAAAAAGCGGUGAAGGGAAGAAGUAGCAGUUAUCGGAGAAGACAGAAAGCAGCCGGCAGAUGAGAGGCGCGUGACACGUUAUCUGUGAAUACAUCUCGGAGCUCCGCACUGAAAGGCUUCAUUACAGGGGGGCUGAGUAGGAUGCGGCGGACUGGCACUCGUUAUUGUGCUGAAUGAGACCGGAAUAGGAAUUCCGGUGAAUUAAGGUGGUACCACGGUUAAUUAUUCGUCCUUAUU
rnacentral:ncRNA from 1 species